GACGAACGCUGGCGGCGUGCCUAAUACAUGCAAGUAGAACGCUGAAGGAGGAGCUUGCUCUUCUGGAUGAGUUGCGAACGGGUGAGUAACGCGUAGGUAACCUGCCUGGUAGCGGGGGAUAACUAUUGGAAACGAUAGCUAAUACCGCAUAAUAGUAGAUGUUGCAUGAUAUUUACUUAAAAGGUGCAAUUGCACCACUACCAGAUGGACCUGCGUUGUAUUAGCUAGUUGGUGGGGUAACGGCUCACCAAGGCGACGAUACAUAGCCGACCUGAGAGGGUGAUCGGCCCAGCUGGGACGGGAGCACGGCCCAGACUCCUACGGGAGGCAGCAGUAGGGAAUCUUCGGCAAUGGACGAAAGUCUGACCGAGCAACGCCGCGUGAGUGAAGAAGGUUUUCGGGUCGUAAAGCUCUGUUGUACGAGAAGAACGAGUGGGAGAGUGGAAAGUUCACAUAGUGACGGUAUCUUACCAGAAAGGGACGGCUAACUACGUG
rnacentral:rRNA from 1 species